CUUAAAAGUGAUGAUUAGCAUUACCGCCCCAGUCUGAUCUAUCAUGAGUGACUGGUUGGGUAUU
rfam:Folsomia candida strain VT population Fcan01_Sc004, whole genome shotgun sequence.